rnacentral:lncRNA from 1 species
UUGAGUCAUACUUCCUGCCUCUUCUUUUUACAACAUCUCUUUGCCUCUUAAUGAAACCAUUGAGGCAAACAUGGUACCAGUGUCUGGCCCUCCCACUGUCCUGUCAAAUCCUGUUCUUGGGGAAUGAUUGAAUUGGUGUGUAGUGUUCCUGAUGAUGUCUGCAUCUUGGAGGCCCACAGGUUGCAGCAGCAGCCCCGGAGCUUUUGACUGCCCAGGGACACCUUCUAUGUCAGAGGGACCAAGGUGGAUCCUGGGCAAGAUGGAGCUGACAGGUGUCCAGUGGUGUUUGAGCAUCAUGGAAGUGGCCCGUGACUGCAUCUGCUUCACCUUUGGAAAGAAGAAAUUUGGAACGGAGGUGUGGUCUGCUCCUGAUAUGACACCUUGUUUAAAGCAACUUCAGGUCCUCCUGGGGCUGGAUGAGGGGGACUCGCAGAGGAGGGCUUGUGGAGGGAGAGUCUUUAUGAAGUGGUAGAGUGAACACUUCAUAUUUUAAGCCUGGGAAAAAAGCAUCUCCUGGCAGGCAGUCUUACCAAGUGUGUGCAGGCUGUGGUGGAAUCUUCCAAGGCCUGUUUGCAGCUCCAUUUGAGGUGCUCCGUUUCCUGGCUCUACAAUGGCCCUGUUAAAAUCCUACCCCAAAUCGUUGGUUCACAUACAAGGUGACAGGCAAGGUAAUCAUUUUCUUUGGCUGCCGUGUGCUUCCCAGUUUACAGCCCCUCCAGAUCCAGCGUGGAAGAAGGAUGAGAUGCUGCCGAAUCUUUGUGCGGACUCCAAAUGGUUCCCUCAUGAAGAAGGCGGCUUGGGAAAGAAAACGAUGGUGAAUUCAAUACAAAAAACCUAACAUCUCUUUUUCAUCAUCAUUAUUUUAUUGAACAAUUUUUAGUGUUAUUUCAGUGCCCCAGAUUUUCUACCUAGAUCUGAGCGUAUAGACACAGCCUGUCCUACACUCUAAUGAUGUCCAGCUUGUUAGAUGGAUAGAUAGAUGAUAGAUAAAGAUCUGUGCCUUGAUAGGGGCACUGCCUCGAUAGGGGCUGAUCUCGUUCACUGGUAGGAAAACGGAGCCUCAUUGAAGACAGCUGACUUUCCUUUAAAGCCACAGGAAGUUGCUUCUGAAGCCUAGUUUCUUAAUUUCUACUCAACAGCAUCAACACAUUUGUCCUGAGAAUGCUCACAGAAAACAGAAGGCGAAAGAGAAUGUUAAGCAAGGAACAAACCCAGAGCAAGUAAGAAUUGUGCAAACCAUGGGCUGUAAUUCUGAUGGAGAACUCUAUAAAUUUUCAGAGAAUCAGGCCAAGUAAAGAAAUUAUUUGUGUGACAAAGGAAUGUGACGGGAUUGAGUUGUUGGGUGACAGGAUCAGAUCUGAACUGAUCCAGCCUCACAGGAAAACCAACAACAUGGCAUGCUGGGCCUACUCUAGGUGGCUACUUUCCUCCUGCUAGGUGUAUUAUGCAAUUUCCAGGUUUCAGAAUACACUUUGACCUUCUACUAUGCUUACAUUUGUUUUAGGAGGAGGGAAAGAAGGUGUGUGAGGGUAGAGGCAGUAAGACGUGGAGCCAGGGGUGCCACUUCUAAAGACUGUUCUUUAAUGUCUGGUGAAGGCCUGCUUGCUGAGCUGACAACAGUAGUGAGGAUGCCUGGUGCUACAAAGGAGUCUAGAAGAAAUAUUUAUAGUAGUUCUCUCUCUAGCCAUCUGUUAUCUAUCAUCUAUCUAUCCAUCUAUCUGUCCUGUCUCUGCCUCUGUCUCUCUAUCUCUCCCUGUCUCUGUCUCUCUGUCUGUCUCUGUCUCUGUCUGUCUCUGUCCCUCUCUCUCUCAGUGUGUGUGUGUGUGUGUGUGUGUGUGUGUGUAUAGAUCAGAGGAAAACUUCAUGGAGUCAGUUCUCUCUGUCCACCUUUAAAUGAGUUCCGGUGAUUGAACUCAAGGGGUCAGACUUCCUCUGCAAGAGCUAUUACACACUGAGCCAACUUCCUGGUCCUAUAGCCAUGUUCUUAACAACAGGGGGAAAAAAUAUAAAUAUCUAUGGGGGACUUGAGGCAAAUGGGACAGUGGAAAUAAACAUAAAUUGACCUGUGUCCUAAAUGUAGAA